UAACUCCUUGAUCACAGUAAGAGGGUUUUCACUGAUUGUGCUAGAGAUACUUGACACAGCCAGCCAAAUCUUUCGCACAGAGUUCAGUGAAGUUAAUUAUUGACUGAUAAGUCUCCCGUUCGUGCACCAUUGCAGCAGUCUGACCUACUAUUGUAUCACGGAAAAUCUGAACUGAUUAACUUGUGAAUGGGGGGCGGUAACAAGUAUUAAACAUUAAAAACACCAGUUUUAUGACUGGCUACUAGUCAUCCUCUCAAUGAUCUAACGAAUUGAGCUUUAAUGCUGACUGCAUUCGACAAGAUCGGAGUCUAGUGCCAAGGUAAAGCCUGCAGCGUUGGUCUGAGAUAGGGCAAUGGAAUCACCCCGGGCGUCAGUGAGUGAUAUUCCACUGACAGACGUGCCUUCCUCUGACUCUCAGCAUGUCGCCAGCGUAUUUGGCGCGAGCACAAACCAGGCUUUCUGGGAAGGAGACCCCGAGGACCACCUCCUGUGCUCCGUAAUCACAAGCAUUUUUUGCUUUGCUCCAGUAGGAUUUGCUGCAAUAUACUAUUCAUGGAAGGUGCGAGAUGCUGUUUGCAAUGGAGAUCCACAUACCGCCAGUAAAAGUUCAAGAACUGCACGACUCCUGAACAAUAUUAGCUUGGUAGUCGGCAUAUUUCAGUGGGUGAUAGUGCUGCUUAUGCUAGUGUUUUACCUUAGUGGUUAUUUAGACUAUAUCAUAAGUGGGUUAGCAAAUGGAACAUAACCAUUGUUACAUAGACCUCUUGGCUUGCUGAAUGAAAGCUAAUACACAACCCAAAGAUAUCGAAGUGAAAACAGAUAUUCAAGUGCGCCAUUGACACAAGAGUCAUAGAUUGUAUUAUGGAGAGUAGCCAUAGCACUAUAUUAAAGAAGAUUCGAUGUGUGGUUGAAUUUAUUCAAUCCAUUGUUAUAAACGAAACCGUACCAAGAACCAAGUUUUUCCAGGUUUUCAAAUCCAGUGCUUCUGACGAAUGUACCUCGACAGACAUGCAUGAAGAACAGUACCUAAUGAGCAGAUUAAUUUGAAAGAUUCGACGAAUAUUAAUUCCUUGUUUUAUGUUAUUUUUCGGUUGUUUCGUAUCCAUUCGUCCCUUUUUGUGAUAUUCUUUCUUUUUAUUGCUUCAUUUUAUCAAAGCAUUUCUAUGUAAAAGUAUGUAAUUCAUAUUUUACUUUAGUGAUAACAGAAUCCUGCCAGCGGAAAAAACUAAAAGGUAAUUUGUAAGGGUUUGUCUUAAUAAACGGCUAAUCCUUGACGGCUGCUUAUAUUAACGCCUGUCUGAAAUCUUGUCUGGGAAAUAGAUGAAACAUAUGAACUUCAUUAUUCACGAAGUAGGUAAAUAUGUAGAAAUUUAAUUUGAAAUGGUGAUUUAUUUCCGAAUAAUAACGUAAGAUCUUAAGAUGCAUAAUCUAUAACCGAUAGUUGAACUUAACGAUGAAAAUGUGUUUAUAAAGUAGGGUGACAAUGUUAAACAUUUUGCGGCAAAGCACAGUGUCCAAGAUUCAGUUCAAGUUCUUUUCUUUUUUCUUAACUUUCCUUUUUUCGCUCAUUACCUUUUGUUGGUUUAUUUUUUCAAGUAAUUUGUAUUCUCUUUAUAACAAUUAUUGAGUUGCUUAUUCACAAUGAGAAAUGUGAUACUAAUGUUGAGAAAUAUCUUUCCCAAGGUGAUAAAUUUUUUUAUACAUAAAAGUGCCCAAAGCGCACUUGAAUAUCCUCUA